rnacentral:miRNA from 1 species
GCACAUAUCACCUGGGAAACCUGCUAAGAUGCAGAUUCUGAUUCAGGAACCUGGGUGGGGAUCAGGAGUUCUGCCUUUCUAUAAGUUCCCCAGAGAUAUCCAU